rnacentral:rRNA from 1 species
AUUGAACGCUGGCGGCAUGCUUUACACAUGCAAGUCGAACGGUAACAGGCCGCAAGGUGCUGACGAGUGGCGAAUGGGUGAGUAAUGCAUCGGAACGUGCCCAGUCGUGGGGGAUAACUACUCGAAAGAGUAGCUAAUACCGCAUACGAUCUAUGGAUGAAAGCGGGGGACCGUAAGGCCUCGCGCGAUUGGAGCGGCCGAUGUCAGAUUAGGUAGUUGGUGGGGUAAAGGCUCACCAAGCCAACGAUCUGUAGCUGGUCUGAGAGGACGACCAGCCACACUGGGACUGAGACACGGCCCAGACUCCUACGGGAGGCAGCAGUGGGGAAUUUUGGACAAUGGGCGCAAGCCUGAUCCAGCAAUGCCGCGUGCAGGAAGAAGGCCUUCGGGUUGUAAACUGCUUUUGUACGGAACGAAACGGCUCUGGUUAAUACCCGGGGCUAAUGACGGUACCGUAAGAAUAAGCACCGGCUAACUACGUG